GACGAACCGUACGAACGUUAUUCGGAAUCACUGGGCUUAAAGGGUGCGUAGGCGGCGCGACAAGUUGGGUGUGAAAUCCCUCGGCUCAACCGAGGAACUGCGCCCAAAACUGUCGUGCUCGAGGGAGACAGAGGUGAGCGGAACUUAGGGUGGAGCGGUGAAAUGCGUUGAUAUCCUAAGGAACACCGGUGGCGAAGGCGGCCCACUGGGCUGUCACUGACGCUGAGCGCGAAAGCGUGGGGAGCGAACAGG
rnacentral:rRNA from 1 species